AUGGAUGAUCUGGUUAGGACUGACCUACUCAGCGAACACCUUUCAGCAGCACAAAACCAUCCUUGUACUACCACAAAUAGUUGGCCAUGGCUCUUUGAUAGCAGUUUUUAUUCUGCUGUGGAAAUUAUCCUUGAACUGGAAAAAGUCCCCAAUCCAACAUCCAGUCACUCAACACUCUCAUCUUUAUAAAGAGCUGCUUUCAAAUUCUACAUCGAUUUUUGGAAAAAUAUGUAUUGCUCUGGUAAAAAGUGCUGCAUCUAUGAUCUCAAACCUCUCCCUCGAAUUGGAUGGAGAUGGUGAAUUUCAGCCAAAGUGGCCAAAGAACUCGUGUCCCACGCUCCUGAACGCCAUCAGCCCCCGCACCUCCAUCAUUCCUCCUCCCACGAGUCUCCUGCUCCCCGUGACUUUGGCCUUCUCUCGGUGCUGCUGAGGCACAUCAGGAAGUGCUGGAGGACGUGGCACUGCGCCAGCACUGGGCGGCCGGCCGUGUAGCUCAUCCCGCAGAUCGUGCUCUACCUGUGCUUGGAGAUGAAGUCCUCCUGGAAGCAGCUCGUGGCCCACUUCUCAGGUAGGUGGGGCACAGACAUAGCCAGGAAUGUCACCAGACACGCAUCCAGCCAGUCCAAGUGCUUGUUGCGCCGUGCACUGGGACCUGCCUGUGCGUGGUCACCAGCUUGCAGGAGAGGACGCUAUUCAUGCCCUUGAACUUGUUCUACUGAGCGGUGUCGCUGGUAGUGCACUGGAAGGAGUAGGGGUUCUCCUGCCACUUGAGGCCAUAGAGCCACAGAGCCACGCACAGCUUGUCCCCGUCCUUCACAGAGCCCAACGCCUCGCCAAGCACAAGGCCUCCCUGCCUGACUUGACAGGUGGGGAAGCGGUUGAGACUGCGCCUCAUGGUGGCCAAGCUGUUGCCACCACGGGGGCUCAGGGAGCCACUGAGGACCAGGUGUGAACCGCCACUAGGCUCAUCCACCAUCACGGAGCUGCCAUCCCACUUGUCGUCCUAGGCAUCAUCACUUCAUCACUGCCCUGACUGUCCUGGUUGCCACGAAAGAGCUGCUGAGGCCACGGCUGUCGGGCACGCCUGCCGUCUGAAGCCUGCACCGGCUGCUGAAAGGUAUUCAGUGGUGGCACGUGCUGCGGCUGUAGCACCGGCUGGAAAGUGUCAGGAAGGGGUCUCAAGGAGGUGGGCAGCAUACCGGGCAUGGCCUCGAAGCCUCCUGACAGCAUGUUGGCAGCGUGGCUGAGAUGCUGGGGCCACCAUCACCUGCCAGUCCCAGCUUGGAGUCAUAGAUCACCUGCACGGCACAGAUGAGGCUGGGAAGAGGCCACAGUCACUGUAGCCAUGGACGCUCUUGAGCAGCCCUUGAUGUCCUGCUCCCGCACAGGCUCAGCACCUCGUGUUCCUGCAGCAAGUUCUUGCCGGGGUUCUCUGACCUGAAAUGGUACAACAACCGGGUGAGGUGUGCCAUGUCCCCUGCGUGGCCAUCGGUGCUGCAGCUAAAGGCCCAUGGCACCCCGGUGCCCUCCCCUACCAAGCAGGGCUGGGGUUGAGGCCGGGCCCCUCUGGACCUAGGACUUGUGCCCUGGGAGGGGACUCUGUCCAACAAGUCAAAUCAGAGGCCACAGGGCAUGCUCCUGGCUGGCCAGGGCUGGGAGGACACCACGUUCACCCCUCCCUCUGGCAGCCUGAAAGGGACCAGCUUCCCUGUUGAGAGGGACUUCAUAAGGCCCAGGAGCCAUCUGGGGCUGCAGAGCAACUGGCUGGGAGCUGCCCUGGCUCCUUCCAUGCCAUGCUAGUCAUUGCCCACCAAGAGGGGUCCGAUGCAAGUGCCCCCAUGCAAGGGACUUAUCUCUGGACCUGCCUCUCAGUUCUCACGGGGCCCAGCAGGGCCUGGUGUUGUGGCCAAGAUGGGGUUGCAGGGCUGGGCCCCACUGAUGGUCCUGGGGCUGUGUAGGGUGGAUGUGGAAGGGACGGAGCACAGCAUCCCUGUUCAAAAUUGCACAAUGGGAACCACGGGCCUCUGACAGCCAAGUCUCUGGGCAGCUUCGGGAGGGAGUUCAGAAAAUGCAUGGGUCCAUUCUGAACCCUCAGGAUCCCCAGAGAGCAACCUGCUGCCCUGAGCUUUCUGGAAGCUCCUUCGUGCCCCUGGGCCUCAGUCUUGGAGACUGCCAGCCAGGUCAGGGUGGGAGAGGACCAGGGUUGCAUUCCGGGGUAGGGGGCUGGCUGCAUGGACCCCUGGAGCUAAGCUGGUAGGCAGGGGCGGGCCAGCCCAUCUCCCUUGCAGAGGGGCUCAAUGCCAGGGUAUGCUCACAGAGGCCUGGGUGCCAAGGACCCUCGAUUGGGUUUGGCUGAAAAAAUAGCAGAUGCGAGCGGUCAGCUUCUCCUCCAAGUCCAUUAAGUCCUCACAAGGCUGGGCCCCACAGACCUGGGUCUCUGGUGUCCUCAGCAUCCCUGUGUGGCUUCUUGAGUCUGACUCUGAGGACACCCCUGCAGGCUGCUGAUCACAGAGCAAGAGGUGUGUGGAUCCCUCAGGGCACGGGGAGCUGUUGGGGCACCUCACGUCACUCCUGGGGCUGUGGCUUAGGAUUCAGGCUGGCUCCAGACUUCCUCCUUCACCUCCUCAUCCCAGGGCUGUGUGGCCUGGGUAGCAGCCCUAAUUCAGAACCAGGUGGGAGAGGCCUUGGCUGUCACCUAGCCCCCUUGCCACCUCACACAAGACACUAUCUCCACAGUGGGUGAGAUGGUCCCAGGCACGGGGCCCCCUUUGCCCUCCAGGACCGUCCACUCCAUGCCUGGACGGGACCAUUCCCACACCUGCACCUGGCUGAACUCUUGGAUCUGGCUCUGGCCAGGGCUCCUAUCCGUGUCCUCUCCCCAAGUCCUCUGGGUCAGUGACACUGAUUCUCUUUUUCCCCUGGCUCAAGGCUUAUUGCCCUGACGUCCUUGGAGGGGGAUUCUGGAGUGAGCGGCCCCUGCUCCUCUCAGCAUCUGUCGAUGUUGGGAUGGUGGUUAGGGAGCUCGCACAGAGGAGAGAGGAUGUAAAAAGCAUAGGGGGCGUUGAGGGUUCUUUCUCCAGUCCCUGCCUGUCUGAGCAGCAUGUCCAGUACAUAUGCGCUCAGCACCUGCCCAGAAGCUGCUUAGUGUAGAGGAGGAAAAGACAGAAAAAGAGGUGCAGGAGGAAGGGCCAGGUAGUAGGGCUGGUGGGGCCGGGGCCCUCUCCACUAUCGAAUGCUCCAGAGGAUGACUUAGGAGAGGGGACCUGGUGCUGGAGCCCACGAGGGGGUGGCAGAUCCCAGCACUGGCUCAUCAGUUCCCCCACAAAGGCCUCAAAGUGCCUGAGCACUGUGGCAUCCUCCAGGGCCCAGGCCUGGGAGCACCGGUCCUGAAAGAACUCCCUCCCACAGGGUGGACUGGGACAGGUUCAUGGUCGCUCAAGGGACAGGAAGGGCAUCAGGCCGGGAGGGGUUCCUGGAAGGGGUUGGUGCCCACACCCCGUUUCCAACACUGCCACCUCCCACUGAGCAGCACUGGGUCCUUCUGUGGCCAACCCUGGGGUCCAGCUGUGCACAGGAGGCCAUGGCCGGGGGAGGCCCGGGCAGGGAGGUUCCCACCACACUCCCACCUUUCACAUGGAUCACUCAUUUCAAGGGUGGGCUCAGGGUCUGGGAGAACCCACUAUGCCCUGCCCAGCCCUACAGGCCAGGCCUGGCCAUCCCUGGCCAUCCCUUCUGAUGAGAGCAGAAGGUCAUGGGGACAGAGGCCUCAGGCCAGCCAGGCUGUGUCCCAUGAGUUCCCCAGGAAACCUCAGACACAGGGGGACUUGCUUCUGUGAACCUCGAAGGCCGUGGGCGCCAUUGCCAUUAUUGCAUGCUUCAUCUUCAGGCUGAACCCGAAGGGGAUCUGUGGGGACAGCAGGUGUGAGAGGACCUGGCCCUUCCAGGCUGGGAGCUGGUGGCCCAAGCAGGGCCCACUGUGGUUUCAGUCCCCUGGAGUGCCAGGGACCCGUCCCCAUGGGAUGAGCUGCCACCAUGAGGCUGGGUCAGAAGAGGUCUUGCAGCUCCUCAUGGAGGGGACUCAUCUCAGCAGGGAUGUAGCUCCUGGAGGGAGGGGCUCCCCAGGGCCUUGGACUUCCCCGGGCUCUUCCAAGUGGAGACCUGGCCCGUUCUGCCCUGGCCUCUGCUGUGGGAUGCCCCCUCUCAGGUGUUGCCUGGCUUGUGUGCCCUGUGGGGACCCGCCUGUGCCUCCUGCUGGGUGGGGGUGAGCCAGGUCCUCCUGGGGAAGCCGGACCCCUGGGCUGGGGGAGCCAAGCAGUGCGGGGCAGGAGGGUCCCUGGACUGGGAGCUUCCAGUGCCUCAUUACCCCCAUUUAAAGCACCAGAGGAGCCAGUGUAAACGUGGAAUUCUGGGCAUGCAGCUCAUCCUUGUCCUGAUGGGAGGAGCAGAGGUGCUCAGGGCCCCUUGGGCUGCCCCCAAAACAUCCCUAUUUCAGGCCCCUCUGCAGCCCUUCCCUGAGGGACAGAACACUGGGCGGUCCCCAGGGCACCCCGCCACACCUGCCCCCCGCAUGGACCUUCGGUGGACACACUUCCCUUAGCCCAGCUCAGCCAGAGCCCAGUCCCCGUCCCAGAGCCUCUGCCUGCUCCAGAGCAGAAAAAGGAAACCCAACUACAAUCCCAUGGAGAACCCCACAUCCCAGGUCUGGCCCCUGCUGGGACUCAACCUCUCACCCCCUAUGAGGAGGAGCCAGAACCUCCCUCUACCCCUGAUCCCCAAGCCUCUGGGGAAGAGCCAAGGGGACCGUCUCCUCACCAAGUCCUCAUAAGCUUCGGGGAUGAUGUCCAUAACACGUGUCCCGGGUGGGCUUAGAGUCUCUGGAGCCUGGCACAAUUUGAACUGCAGAAUCCUGAGAGCCCACAACCUAUCACAAAAUCAAAGCCUGCUCCCAAGACGUGGAGCCGUCAGCUGGAAGAGCUGGCACUGGCAGGGGUCCUCAGACCCCCAGGUCUCCCACCCUCCCAUCUGGCCCCUCCAGCAUGCAGCCUUGGCCCAGGGGAGGAGGGGCAGGAAUGUCCCCGGGAUCCUGGCGGGAGGAGCUGCCCAGUGGGGGCCCUGAGCUGAGGUAUUAGGAGGAGAGGCCUGCCGUGGAGGCCAAGAGGGAGGAACGUGGCAGGCAGGGGCCAGCAGGGUGAGCGGGGUGGGUGCUGGGGGUGCAUUACUGUCUUCUGGACAUUCAUAGGGUCAGGCUAGGGGACAUGCGAUGAGGAAGCAUUACUGUCUGGGUUUCAUCUGCCUGUCUGAGGGUGACGAGGACGGCUAGGAGCACAGUCAGCCACCAGGAGGCAGGAGGACCCUCAGGGAGGUGAGCGUUGCCUGCGCAAAGUCGGGGUUGGAGGACCAAGCCUCCGGGAUACAGAAGGUAGCCACAGGGAGGCUGUGAUGCCCUCUGCUGAUGGGGAUGAGAGGCAUCUAACUCAGGGUGUGGGGGUCCCUAUCCAGUCCCAGGCUCCUGCAUGACCCACAGCAGGCAACAUCCUAGAGGCUCCAAACGAGCUGGGGACACAAGGAAGGCUCCUUGCCUGGAAGCUGAGAUCACCUAGCCAGGGUGACCAUCCCCAGGCCUGGCUGUGUGAGUCCCCAUGGGCAGCUGUCCACCUACCCUGCAAGGAGUGCCUCUCACCAGCCAGCAGCUGGGCCACCACUCAGAAGGUAUCUUUUCUGGGCAGAUAGAGGAGAGUGGCAGCAAUGCAGCUCAUGGCCCUGCAGUAGCCCAGCUCCUGCAAGAGUCAGAGUCACCAUGGAAGGAUGUCACCUGGGAGGGCUGAGGUCACCUGAGAGGACUGAUGUCAUUGAGGAGGCCUGCCACAGGCCCUGUGGGAUUUGGGGUGCAGCCUGUUCACCCCUCUCCUGACACUGGGUGUCAGGACUGAGCAAGUCACGCACGUCUCAGUUGACAAGGAGUCCAGAGAGAUUCCUGUAGCGAGUGUCCAAGCCCACAUGGCCCGAGAGGACAUAGGAGAGGACCGUGGAUGUCCCUCCCCCUCAGAUGCCAGGCCAGGGAGGCCACCGUGCCAGGCUUGGGACAGCAUCUGUGAGCUAGGCUGGCCAACAGGGCGGGCUGGGGGCCCACCGCAUACAGGGUCCUGGGAAGACCCAGGGGCUGCCUGCCAGGUAUGAGAGGGAGGCUGGGUCCAGACCCUGUGUGUGCAGCCCAUGGAGCCAGCUCAGUGGCUGUCCCUCCAGGAGUGAUCUGGAAACUGGGGGCACAGUGGGAGCAGGCACUUCAGGAACCCCCUCCCUGUCUGCUGCGCUCCAGUGGGGUUCGGGCGGAGGGGACAUUGGAUCCCUGCCAGUUUUCCAAUGAAGGAACAGCUUCCGCGGGAUCCACACUCAUUUCGUGACAAGAGCGACGUCCAUCGGGUACUUUGGCAACUUGUCAAAAAUGCCUCCUGGGAGGACCACUUUGGGACACUGACCAGCUCCUGGACCUUGGGGCAAGCCCAGGAGGAGGGUGUCAUUUCUUGUUCUGAGAUUGGGGGUCAGGCUCAGGUCAGACCAGGAGUCUGUGCCUGAGCCCUCUCCAUCUCAGCAUGACCCCUCUGAGACCCUCCCUCCCUGCCUCGCUUGAAUGUUCAAGCCAACAGCGAGCUUGAGUCCUACCGGCUGCGUCUUGGUAGGUGUCAGAUACUGAAUUUUAAAGAAGCAAUGACACCCCCUACCCAAGACACCCGUGCCUAUGAAUAUGGGAAUGUGACCCGCGAAUAUUGUUGCCUUGGAAUACUCAUGGGAUUAGGUGCAAUAUGCCACCAGGACAAGAAAGACAUGCUGCAGCCUAGGAAAGAGAGAAAAGAGGGUUUGGG